ACUUUUGGUGGAGGCACCAAACUCAUCGUUGACUUGGGAGUGGUGCAGCCCACGCUGAGCGUCCUCCCUCCCUCCAGAGUGGAGCUGGAGCAGGGCAGUGCUAUACUAGUGUGUGUGGCCAGUGGGGGCUUCCCCUCAGACUGGAAGCUUGGCUGGAAGGUGGGGGGCAGCAGCAGGUCUGGGGGGGUGUCAGAUAGCCUGGGGAUCCUGGGGAAAGAUGGCCACUACAGCUGGAGCAGCACCUUGACCCUCCCUGCAGACCAGUGGAGGAAGGCGGGCUCAGUGAGCUGUGAGGCCAGUAAGAAUGGC